GCAGGGGUCCCCUGCACUGAGCCCCCCUACCCCCCUGCAUCCCUUCCAUCUCAGGGUGCUUCAGGGGCUUCUUCAGGCUCUUCCCGGAGGUGAGCCGCGGCCUGCUGGUGGACUGAGCAGGAGCAGCGUGGGGGCCUGAGCCGCCCGCGGGGGCUAUUAAAGUGCAUUCACCAUU